CAGCCGCCGCGGGAAUACAGAGGAUCCAAGCGUUAUCCGGAAUCAUUGGGUUUAAAGGGUCCGUAGGCGGUCUUGUAAGUCAGUGGUGAAAGCCCAUCGCUCAACGGUGGAACGGCCAUUGAUACUGCAGGACUUGAAUUAUUGGGAAGUAACUAGAAUAUGUAGUGUAGCGGUGAAAUGCUUAGAGAUUACAUGGAAUACCAAUUGCGAAGGCAGGUUACUACCAAUUGAUUGACGCUGAUGGACGAAAGCGUGGGUAGCGAACAGGAUUAGAUACCCCUGUAGUCCCUGUCUCUUAUAC
rnacentral:rRNA from 1 species